UGGGCUACACGGGCCCUAUNCGACGCUGUGUUGNGCUGAGGUACACGGCUCACCACAGGCGANCGNACGGGUAGCCGGCCUGAGAGGGUNGACCGGCCACACUGGGACUGAGACACGGCCCAGACUCUCUACGGGAGGCAGCAGUGGGGAAUAUNGCACAAUGGGCGCAAGCCUGAUGCAGCGACGCCGCGUGAGGGAUGACGGCCUUCGGGUGGUAAACCUCUUUCAGCAGGGGAGAAGCGAAAGUGACGGUACCUGCAGAAGAAGCGCCGGCUAACUACGUGCCAGCAGCCGCGGUAAUACGUAGGGCGCGAGCGUUGUCCGGAAUUAUUGGGCGUAAAGAGCUUGUAGGCGGUUUGUCGCGUCUGCUGUGAAAGCCCGGGGCUUAACCCCGGGUUUGCAGUGGGUACGGGCAGACUAGAGUGCANUAUGGGGAGACUGGAAUUCCUGCUGUANCNNUNAAAUGCGCAGAU
rnacentral:rRNA from 1 species